rnacentral:rRNA from 1 species
UGGGGAAUUUUGGACAAAGGGGGAAACCCUGAUCCAGCCAUUCCGCGUGAGUGAAGAAGGCCUUCGGGUUGUAAAGCUCUUUUGUCCGGAACGAAACGGUGGACGUGAAUAUCGUCCAUUACUGACGGUACCGGAAGAAUAAGCACCGGCUAACUACGUGCCAGCAGCCGCGGUAAUACGUAGGGUGCGAGCGUUAAUCGGAAUUACUGGGCGUAAAGCGUGCGCAGGCGGUUUUGUAAGCCAGAUGUGAAAUCCCCGGGCUUAACCUGGGAAUGGCAUUUGGGACUGCAAGGCUGGAGUUUGGCAGAGGAGACUGGAAUUCCUGGUGUAGCAGUGAAAUGCGUAGAUAUCAGGAGGAAUACCGAUGGCGAAGGCAGGUCUCUGGGCUAUAACUGACGCUCAUGCACGAAAGCGUGGGGAGCAAA